UACAGAGGGUGCGAGCGUUAAUCGGAAUUACUGGGCGUAAAGCGCGCGUAGGCGGCUUUGCAAGUCGGGUGUGAAAUCCCCAGGCUUAACCUGGGAACUGCAUUCGAGACUGCAUUGCUAGAGUAUGGGAGAGGGAAGUGGAAUUUCCGGUGUAGCGGUGAAAUGCGUAGAUAUCAGGAGGAACACCGGUGGCGAAGGCGGCAUCCUGGACCGGCAUUGACGCUGAGGCGCGAAAGCCAGGGGAGCAAACGGG
rnacentral:rRNA from 1 species